ACCUAUAUCCACGCCACCCUAAAUGAGCCCCGUCCCGUCUCAUCGCGGAAGCUAAGCAGGGCCGGGCCUGGUGAGUGCUUGGAUGGGAGACCGCCUAGACCAGGUGCUGUGGGCG
rnacentral:rRNA from 1 species